AAGUUCAGCCUUGGUUUCAUCCGAUCGUAACACAUUUUCCCCACAUUUGUAUACGUGUCAAAAAAAAGGCUUAACCACUUGCAACCUGUGCUACAGUAGCAGGUUGGGUCGGGUGUUAUUUAAAAAAAAAAAAAAAAAAAAAAAGGAUGAAGGACCUCAAAGUUGUAAUGAACGUGUCAUAAAUAGUACAUUGCAAUUUUCCAGCUGCAAGCUGCUCACCUUGGAAGCUCAAAAUUGCUUGGCCUCAGAGUGGCGAUUCCGAGACUUGAAUAAUGCACCACCAUGGUGAUUUGUUCUUCAAUAAGGUGGCACAGAAUACGAGUGAUGCUUACGUCACAUGGGCGAUGAUACACAGUAAAAUAUGCCUCAGGUCAAAUAAGCGAGGUUAGGAAUUUUUCAUAACGGUAUAAACAGUUUUGGAUUAUACCCGCAGGGCUUCUGGAUUGUACUACUUUUGUGAGGAAACGGAAUCAAAGUUCUCAAUUUUCCAUACCAGUGAAUAGAAACCAGAUUAGUUUCGAGGUUUUGCCCCCAAAGGAUUAUGGCCAAGACCUCAUAUAUGAUAUACACUACACAGCCUGUAGAAAAAAAAAAAAAAGACAUCUUUCUGCCUUUUAUCCUGUGUUGCUGUUCUGUAUAAAAGGCACUGACACGGAAUAGGAGGCAAUUUUCCACCUUUGCAGUAGUAUCAGAGGUGGGACUUCCACAACAUUUGCAGUGAGAUAUAAAGCACACCCGACACUCACUUCCUUCAUUUCCCCAGAAACAACAAUUUGCACAUUAAGGAGAACCUAUCUCGCCUCACCAUCCCCUGCUUAGAGAGUCUAUUGAUUGCUUUGGGCAGACGCCGAUGAAUCGUCCAUCAUCAGCAGUUAAAAUCUAACGUGUCCUUUCAAAAGAGGCCUUCCUAAUGCAGUCCUCGCCAGAACCCGAGGGUGUAAAAUUACUGUUUGUGUGUCGAGUAAUACAAAGAGACAGAAAUUGAUGAGGGAAGCAGAUAUAACCACAUCGACAGCUUGCUGCGGUCGCACGCUAUAUGGAACGAUGCAUUUCAAUCUAUUGUUUGGUUUACAUCAGGACUGAUGCGUUGCAAGUGAUUGCUUGCGACUUUCAGAGAAACCCGUAGCGCAAAAACAUUCCUUGGCGUUGUUGGAUCGUGCCAUUUGUCAGACAGUAAAUUCCAGAAGUGAUUAGAUUAUUUAGACUUGUGUAUUUAUUGAUCACCAUCAUGGAUUUGACAAAAACCCUGCGUGUGAUUGAAGGGCAGACUUCGACGGUCUUUUCACCAUUUACCUUUGCAGGCAUGAUGGGCCUUUUAUGUAUAGCGCCUUCAUUUUACUUUAGUAGACUUUGGAUCGUGAGCUGUUCGUUUUCAUUCUCUCAUCUAUAUCUUUAUCUUUAUCUACAUACUCUCUACUAGGAGUUGAAUGACUAGAGAUUUUUUUGUCGUUGACUCUCAUGUGAGGAAAGUCCAGUUGAUGUCGAUUAAUCGCAGAGGCCGUUAAUAAUUUUUCCGUACAGUACAGUGGGCCCCAACUUUUUUGCUUCCUGUUAUCCCACUUUUGCCCCGCCCCUUAUUGGACAUAAUAUUUUGGCAACGAAGACGGGAACUUCACUUGGCGCCGCUGCCCUCGUUCCAGUUCCACGGUCCCGCUGGUAUGAAUACUUUAGGGCUAGCAUUUGAUUCGCAUAGCUAAAGCUAGCGAGGCUAACCUCAUUCACAGCGACUUUAUUUUCAUACUGUCGGGCUCGUGUGGAUUUAUGAAGAUUGUGUCCUUUUGUUGGGUGGGCCUUUUGCUGCUCCACUGAGCGUUAUAGUCCUGCAACGGCAGCAGAUAGCCGAGUCGUAAGUCCUCUGUAAAUGCCAGCAACAUAUAGUGACAGUAGGAAGACUCUUCCAUUAGCUAGCAGAAGGUACAAUAAACCCUGUGCAUCCACCUGUUGCCCUUCACACUUCAGAAUAAGUCUUGACUUGUUUCCGAGUCUAUUACCUUUGUGUUUAAUUCAACAGAUUUCACACUGAGCAGCUCAAUUUGUGAGUAAAUUGAAGAUCGGCAUUAUUAUUUCAAUGUUCGCACUUUUUGUGACUGUUUUGUAGUGUGGCGUCAGAUCAUCAAAUAUUAAAUGUGUACAUUAGCUCAUUAAAGGUUGGGUAGCACUGUCCUAAACAAGCAGGAGGACAUAUUCAGGAGAUAAAUAGAUCUCACGUCUCUAUUUGUCUUGAGACGCAGAACAUCUAGACAGAGGUAUCGACUUUAUGUGUCAACGAAGUGGCCUCUUGUGCCAACGAGUGGUGAUGGACAGGGGUGCGCUUGGCCCUCCUGGUGGGGCGCAGCGGGGGGCUAUGUAAAGGUGAGGUUCUGGGUGUCAGAGCCCACAAAGCGGACCCCCCUGGGAGGGUAAUCACCAUGAGGCUAGCCCCAGUUAGCGUAGCCGUGGCCCUCAGUCCCACAAAGACACUCCUCUCAAGAGACAUGCCUGCGCCUUUGUGCUCCUCUCCCCUCAGAGUGUGCCCCUCUCCGGGGGGGCCCGAGAGGCACAACGGGGUGCCCAUUAAGCCAUUAGGAGUCGAGGGGGGUGGGGGGGCGGGGGGCAACCCUGACAGCCUGGUAUACAAAUAGGCACAAAUACACCCAAGGGCGACAUCGUGUAUACUGUAAGUACUGGGAUGACAAAAUAUUGUAACACUGCUUCACGUUUGUUAUUUGCAGCCUUCCGUCACUGAGCUAAUGAGGUCGGGACAUGAAUUUAAGCCGGUGUCAUGUUUUGGCAACUGAUGCUUUGUCAGGAUAAUGCCUUUAAAUUUGCAAAGAUAAAGCCUGUUUCAACUUGAAUCCCUUCACGAUGCGCUCUGUGGGUUAGCAUGCGAUUCGUUUUGUUCGACUCAUGAUCAUUAAUUAAAGUAACCCCUUGCGCUCAUUUUCCAAUCAAAAAUAACAUGGAUUGCAAAACUGGCUUCUAACAAAGAGAAUAGCCAUUCAUUAGUAUGGGAAACCAAAAUACUGUAUUUUAAUUAAGUGGUCUAUAAAUGGGUGCGCGACAUCAGGCGCCACUAUGCUAAAUGCUAGUGCUAAUGUUAAUGUUUCAUCAACUUUGUGACACCACUACAAGCAUAACAAAUUGACAGACACCUGAUGGAACCACUUGUUUUGUUUUGUCUUCAGAGGACAAUGAAGAGAAUCAUUUGAUUCGAGACAAGCGUACGUGUGCUAUAAAAAAAACUUUCAACAAUGUGACCCCCAUCUGCCUGUUGUUUGUUUGGCUAUCGGAGCUUCCCACGUCACGGGUAACGGACGGCUUGACGGCUCUCCUGUGUCUCCUCCCAUUCAAGGGGUCAAGUUCACUCUGUAACGUUGAUUAAUUAACAGCGAUGAGCAACCAACGUUCCCACAGCGCAGUCAUCCGCGGGAGGUCAACAUGAAGAAAGCCCUUGCUCCAUUCGCAGCGGCAACGUGCCGCAUCACAUUCGCUCACGCCGCUCAUCUCUCUUCUCGCUGCGGCCCACUCUUUACAGCGUGCACCGUGACCCGUGCGGCGCCGUGAAAUAAAGAUGCACAAACCAGUUGGCACCACGCAGGCCUGCCCUCUAAUUGGAAACAGAGUCAUCUUGCUGGACUUUAAUUACAGUUGCCAUGGUAACCGCACAAAGAGAAAUGAUUCAAUCGUCGACUCGUGUCAGAUUUGUGGAACGGUAAUGAGCAGCACUCUUCAUUUAAAAAAACACACACAAAACCAACAACAAAUUCUGUCUUUGCCCCAAUCUGUGAUCAUCAUUUCAUGUGAUCUGCCACAACCCAAGAAAUGAGAUGUUUUUUGGGAGAUUUUUUUGUGUGUGUGGAAGCAAUCUGUAAGGCGAGUUUUCUAUUUCCUUCUGCCAAGCUAAGUUUAGAUUUGUCUUGAGCAGGGUGAAAGCAGGUCUGCGGAGUGACUGAAGUUCACAGUCGUGGGUUCUGUGAGCCGCCGGUUUUGCCUUUCAGCUGCCUCCUCUGCUCGGCAACUUGUCUUUUACUGGAGAAGAGCGCCAUGCCAUGCUCACGUGCACCGACGUGUGCACAUGCAGCUGGCUCAGAAAAAGCCAAACUAGGAUUUUGAAGUCGAUUUUUGAAAAGUCUUUUGGGUAAAGUUAUCUAUCACAGAAAUGACAACAAAGCAUGUACAGUCCAUCAAAUCAACUCUACUGCCAGCACUGUACUGCCAGCAAUUUUCAAAAUACAUUUCCCCAUAUUGGCAGCUGUUUUUGUGCAUAUCUAACGGAAAAAGAUUACCUCGGUGCCAUCUUGUAGCAUAUUGGGGUGGAGAAACUCUUUAGGUGGGGGGAGGAGCUUAAUUUAGCCUGACCAUAGCCUUGUCUAAACGAAAAAAAGCACUUUGCCUACAUUUUGUUGUAUCUACAGACAAUUGUCAACAUUUUUGAGUGGGCUGAUUUCCUUGAGGAUUUUUGUCUCAAUCCGUGGGGAAUCCACCUUAAGGCCCCAUGAGCCUUUACAUCACAGGUGCCAAAUUCAAGGCCCGGGGGCCAGUUCUGGCCCACCACACCAUUUUAUGUGGGCUGCGAAAGCAAAUCAAACAUGUUGACUUCUAUGAUCCUUACUAAAAUUUGGACCAAAAUUUCAAAUUCUCGUAUGUAAUAUAUAAGAGAGCUAUUCUAAAUGUUCUUGUUACCAACACCCUUAUUACAGUCACUCUAGUUGAAUAAACCAGUCUUCUAGACUUCUUUAUAUGGUUUCGCAGCCAUAACGGCCCUCCAUAGGAAAUGGUAACUUUAAUGUGGCCUGCAACAAAAAUGAGUUAGACACCCCUGCUUGCUCUGAAUUGUAGUAGUGACUUCUGGUUCAAACAGGAACCAGUGUUUUGUUUACACGGUAACUAGUUGCGCAAUCCACUUUCUAAGACAAUUACUAAAGUGUUGUGUCCCCAUGACACGUAAAAAUGAUAAUAGUUCUUGUGACACUGCUCUCAAUCUUUAAGUAGCACCCGGCGAGUCUUCUAAGGUGGUUUGGCGUAAUGCGUAACGCUUUCGCCCUGCAAUUGACCCUGCCUUUAACCUCAUGACUGCCAACCCCCCCGCACCCUUUACAGGAUAAGAGGUGUCAAUGACAGAUGGACGGAGGACACAAUGGACCUUUGUUGACUGUAAUCUGCCGCAUAAAAGGCUAAAAGCAUGAUAAAGCACCAUCAACUCCCUACUGAGCGGCCUGGGGUUUUUUUUCCAAGCGUGCGCGUGAUGCCUCGUGGGUAAUGACGAGGAAGGAUGUGACACAUGUAGGCGAGGCGCCGUGCCUGCGUGUUCUCGGAAAACCUGCGUUGCUCCAUCUGCUGCUGUUCGCCAACCAGCUGCCAGCCGGACCCAGCAACACCAGCUCUGACUACUGUGCUGCCAUGGCAACCGGCUGCCUUCCGCGGGCCACCCAGAGUGACUGACCCUGCUCCUCCGUCUCCUCCGCAAUCUUCUCAUUGUAGAAUUAUGUCAAGGAGUUUUUGUUUUUUUUUCUGAGAUGUACAGUGACUUCUUCAAACCUCUUUAGUGCAUGAGCUGCAAACACUCUACAGUACUGCACAAUGCUGUGGACUAUAUUUACAUAAAUUAGAUGCAUCCUGUCGGUGCAGUGUAGCACUGCGAAUGUGUCACUCACGCUUACUUAAAUUAAAAA